UACGUAGGGCGCGAGCGUUGUCCGGAUUUAUUGGGCGUAAAGAGCUCGUAGGCGGUUUGUCGCGUCUGCUGUGAAAACCUAAGGCUCAACCUUGGGCUUGCAGUGGGUACGGGCAGACUAGAGUGCGGUAGGGGUGACUGGAAUUCCUGGUGUAGCGGUGGAAUGCGCAGAUAUCAGGAGGAACACCGAUGGCGAAGGCAGGUCACUGGGCCGCAACUGACGCUGAGGAGCGAAAGCAUGGGGAGCGAACAGG
rnacentral:rRNA from 1 species